rnacentral:guide_RNA from 1 species
ACAAAUAAAAUGUAUUUAUCAGUGAAUUGAGUAAGUGUGAGAGAUAUUAAUU